rnacentral:rRNA from 1 species
GGCGGUUCGCUGUCUGCGACGUCGCGAGAAGUCCACUGAACCUUAUCAUUUAGAGGAAGGAGAAGUCGUAACAAGGUUUCCGUAGGUGAACCUGCGGAAGGAUCAUUGUCGAAACCUGCCUGGCAGAACGACCCGAGAACACGUUUCAACGCUCGGGGGCGGGGACGCCUCGCGGCCCCUCGUCCCCUCAUCCCGGGAAGGGAACGUCCCGCGCGUGACGCCUCGGCGCCUCCGCCCGACCGAACCUCCCGGGCGUACUGAACACCGGCGUGAAUUGCGCCAAGGAACUUGAACGAAACGACGUCUCCCCCGCCGUCUCCGGAGACGGUGCUCGUGCGGGCGGUCUCGUCGUCUUCAAUAUGUCUAAACGACUCUCGGCAACGGAUAUCUCGGCUCUCGCAUCGAUGAAGAACGUAGCGAAAUGCGAUACUUGGUGUGAAUUGCAGAAUCCCGUGAACCAUCGAGUCUUUGAACGCAAGUUGCGCCCGAAGCCAUUAGGCCGAGGGCACGUCUGCCUGGGCGUCACACGUCGUUGCCCCCCCCCCACCCCUUCGGGGGUCGGACGGGACGGACGAUGGCCUCCCGUGUGCCCCGUCACGCGGCUGGCAUAAAUACCAAGUCCUCGGCGGCCGACGCCACGACAAUCGGUGGUUGUGAGACCUCGGUGUCCUGUCGUGCGCGCGCGUCCGUCGGGGGCCCUCAUGACGCGCGUCGAUCCGUCGACGCUUUCAACGCGACCCCAGGUCAGGCGGGGUUACCCGCUGAAUUUAAGCAUAUCAAUAAG